GUUGAAAGUGAAAGGAACAUUUCAAUACGGACAUUCUGUGCAAGCUCCUUUCUGACGGAAGACAUCUUACAUCGACUGUUUGUGAUCGUAUCGUGUUGGUGAAUACAUCUUGGAGAAAGUGUUGUUGAAGAAGCAAACAGAGACCAUGAAAUAUCAGAGCUUUGAGAACACAGAGGUGAGAGGAGAAGGAGAUGAUGUUGAUGAAGAUCUCCGGUUGCUGUUGAUCGGUAAAACCGGAUCCGGGAAAAGCGCCACAGGAAACACCCUCUUUAAUGAUCGAGUGUUUGAAUCAGUAAUGAGCUC